rnacentral:rRNA from 1 species
GGACCCGCACAAGUAGUGGAGCAUGUGGUUUAAUUCGAAGAUACGCGCAGAACCUUACCAACACUUGACAUGUUCGUCGCGACUUUAAGAGAUUAAAGUUUUCGGUUCGGCCGGACGAAACACAGGUGCUGCAUGGCUGUCGUCAGCUCGUGUCGUGAGAUGUUGGGUUAAGUCCCGCAACGAGCGCAACCCUCACUUUUAGUUGCCAUCAUUAAGUUGGGCACUCUGAAAGAACUGCCGGUGAUAAGCUGGAGGAAGGUGGGGAUGACGUCAAGUCCUCAUGGCCCUUACGUGUUGGGCUACACACGUGCUACAAUGGCCGGUACAGAGGGCUGCAAUACCGCAAGGUGGAGCGAAUCCCAAAAAGCCGGUCUCAGUUCGGAUUGAGGUCUGCAACUCGACCUCAUG